rnacentral:rRNA from 1 species
UACGGAGGGGGCUAGCGUUGUUCGGAAUUACUGGGCGUAAAGCGCACGUAGGCGGCUUUGUAAGUUAGAGGUGAAAGCCCGGGGCUCAACUCCGGAAUUGCCUUUAAGACUGCAUCGCUUGUAUUGUGGAGAGGUAAGUGGAAUUCCGAGUGUAGAGGUGAAAUUCGUAGAUAUUCGGAAGAACACCAGUGGCGAAGGCGACUUACUGGACACAUAUUGACGCUGAGGUGCGAAAGCGUGGGGAGCAAACAGG